rnacentral:misc_RNA from 1 species
UGCUUUAUACGUGUUUGUAAUAUUUAAACUGUCACCGUUUGUUACAAAAUUUCAUAGAUUAUGGUAACGAUAAAUAUAAUGUCAUUUUGAGUAAUGUCUGUUUAACAUGCAAGAUGUUUGAUAGAAGUUUUAUAUGUAUCAAUCAGUACCACAUUACAUGUACUUAUUUCUAAUCAGUUAAGCUUUAAAAGUGUUAAGAUUUUUGUAAGUGUAUAAAUUCAUAUUGAGCCUUACCAGGCUACAGUAUAUAUGAUGUUUGCUUAUGCAAAAUCCUCCAAAUAAAAAAAAUGUUUUUAUUAUCAUUUUAAUUAAAAAUUUUGGGUCACUUCUUUUAGUACAUGUUCUUCUAUUGUCAGUCAGUAUGCACUAUGUGUUGUUUUGGCAAUUUGUUCCAUGUCUCUUGAGAUUUCUUUUUAAUUACCACUUGUUUUAUUCUGCUGUGCAUGUUAGAUCAAUUAUAUAUUUUUGAACAAAG